rnacentral:lncRNA from 1 species
GGAGUUCCGACUCCCCAACGGCUCCUAGCAAGAGCUUUUUAGCUCUCGUCAUCUCGAUUUCUCUCGUAAUUUCUCAAUUCUCAUCCCCUCUCAUCGCCUCGCAACACCUCCCUUGAUUCUAUAUAGAUCAAGCUAUCUUUUCAUUGAAACAUAGGUUUGAACAAUUUCAAUUAUAUGAAAAUAAUUUUGAAUUUUUAUUUGAUUUCAAAACAUUAAUUUCAUUGGAUAAAGAAAGUUUGAAA